GGGGAUUUAGUUUAGCAGCAUAAGCACCUGCCUUGCAAGCAGGUGGUCGUGAGUUCAAUCCCCG
rnacentral:tRNA from 1 species